GGAGAGGUGGCUGAGUCCGGUUGAAAGCGGCAGACUCGAAAUCUGUUGUCCUGAUUUUUCGGGACCGGGGGUUCGAAUCCCUCCCUCUCCG
rnacentral:tRNA from 1 species